rnacentral:rRNA from 1 species
ACAAUGCGGGACUAUACGUCUUGCAAUUGGAUUGAGAACAAUGUACAACUCUUAUCGAUAAGCCAUUGGAGGGCAAGUCUGGUGCCAGCAGCCGCGGUAAUUCCAGCUCCAAUAGCGUAUAUUAACGUUGUUGCAGUUAAAAAGCUCGUAGUUGAAGUGUGGGUGAUCGCUGUUGUGAGACUUCGGUCUCUCGACAGUAAGUCACCCCCUUCCAGUAUCCAGUAGUGGGUAUUCAGUUACUUACUAUUGUGUGUUGGUCCUUUACUGUGAGAAAAUUAGAGUGUUCAAAGCAGGCGUUUGCUUGAAUAGAUUAGCAUGGAAUAAUAAUUGAAGGCUUUCGUGUUCGAUUUGAUUGGUUUGUUCAUGGAAGCAAGGUUAAAAGGAACAGUUGGGGGUAUUCAUAUUCACUAGU